CACCGUCAGCGUUCUCCGAGCAGCGAAGGACGCCGGUGCCAAGAGAGUCGUGGUGACGUCAUCGGUCGCCGCCAUUUUUCCGGGCCCUGAUUGGCCUGCUGAUGUCGCUAGGGAAGAAGAGUGUGGGGCUGACCGGCUGAUGAGGAUUACAGAUUACUGUAGGAAGAAUGGGGCUGCACCGAGGCGUAUGAGGACUUGUUCAUGGGGUAUGUUCAUGUCAAAGACGUUGCGAUGGUUCGCAUUCUAGUCUAUGAGAAUUCAUCGGCAUCGGGGAGGCAUACUUGUUAUGAAGCCAUUGCACAUUUUGGUGACUUACCUAACAAAGUUGCAGAACUUUACCCGGAUUACAAAUACCUCAGUAUGAACUCAAACCAUGGUGAUUAGCAAACGCACAAAUUUUCUCCUUUAAAACUUUUGAUAAUACCGUGUUGCAAUUUUUUCGCAAUGCGGAUUCCCAGAGGAUACUGAACCUGGUCUAAUGAGGGUGAAAGAUCCAUCAAAGAAAUUGAUCUACUUGGGUAUGAGAUUUAUCCCCUUGGAGGAAAUCAUUGAGGACUCUGUUGAAAAUUUGAAGAGCAAGGGAUGCAUAUAAGAGGUUUCUGGAUCUGGAUCAAAUAGAAACUAACUGCUUGGUACCCUUUUGCCUGCCAGUAUGUAUGCAACAAAUUGAAUGUGUUGUGUCAUUUAACAAAAAAAAAAGUUAAAUUGAGCUAUUGAGCUCAUCCAAAGAUCCCUUUUGCCUAUUAUUAUGCAUGCAAUUAUACCAAUGUCUUGUA